rnacentral:rRNA from 1 species
AUUGAACGCUGGCGGCAUGCCUUACACAUGCAAGUCGAACGGUAACAGGUCUUCGGCUGCUGCCGAGUGGCGCACGGGUGAGUAAUACAUCGGAACGUGCCCGAUCGUGGGGGAUAACGAAGCGAAAGCUUUGCUAAUACCGCAUACGAUCUACGGAUGAAAGCAGGGGACCGCAAGGCCUUGCGCGAACGGAGCGGCCGAUGGCAGAUUAGGUAGUUGGUGGGAUAAAAGCUUACCAAGCCGACGAUCUGUAGCUGGUCUGAGAGGACGACCAGCCACACUGGGACUGAGACACGGCCCAGACUCCUACGGGAGGCAGCAGUGGGGAAUUUUGGACAAUGGGCGAAAGCCUGAUCCAGCCAUGCCGCGUGCAGGAUGAAGGCCUUCGGGUUGUAAACUGCUUUUGUACGGAACGAAAAGACUCUGGUUAAUACCUGGGGGCCAUGACGGUACCGUAAGAAUAAGCACCGGCUAACUACGUG